rnacentral:misc_RNA from 1 species
GAUGAAGAACGCAGCGAAAUGCGAUACGUAAUGUGAAUUGCAGAAUUCAGUGAAUCAUCGAAUCUUUGAACGCAUAUUGCGCUCUCUGGUAUUCCGGAGAGCAUGCUUGUUUGAGUAUCAGUAAGCACCUCAACUUCCAUAUCUUUUUUGAAAUGGGAGUUGGACUUGAGUGAUCCCAACGCUUUUCCUCACCGAAAAGUGGCGGGUUACUUGAAAUGCAGGUGCAGCUGGACUUUUCUCUGAGCUAUAAGCAUAUCUAUUUAGUCUGCCUAAAAAACAGAUUAUUACCUUUGCUGCAGCUAACAUAAAGGAGAUUAGUUCUUGUGCUGACUGAUGCAGGAUUCACAAAGACGGAUUCGGCCGACUUUGUAAACUCGAUCUCAAAUCAAGUAAGACUACCCGCUGAACUUAAGCAUAUCAAUAAGCGGAGGA